AUUAAGCCAUGCAUGUCUAAGUACAAACCGAUUAAAUGGUGAAACCGCGAAUGGCUCAUUAUAUCAGUCGUAAUCUACAGGAUAUCGAUCCCAACUCGUUGGAUAACUGUGGUAAUUCCAGAGCUAAUACAUGCACCGAAGCUCCGGUCCUCGCUUCGGCGAGGGAAGGGCGCAUUUAUUAGACCCAAAAACCGUUACAAACUCGCCUCGGGCGAGCGGUACAGGGGACUCCGAAUAACUUCGCCGAGCGCUUCGGUCUCGCGACCGGCGCCGUAUCCUUCGAGCGUCUGCCUUAUCAGCUCUAUCGUAAGGUAUCGGCUUACGACGGCUGUAACGGGUAACGGGGAAUCAGGGUUCGAUUCCGGAGAGGGAGCCUGAGAAACGGCUACCACAUCUAAGGAAGGCAGCAGGCGCGCAAUUUACCCAAUCCCGGCACGGGGAGGUAGUGACGAAAAAUACCGGUGCGAGGCUCCGACGAGUCAUCGCCAUCGGAUUGAGUUUAAACCAAAACCUUGGACGAGCGUCCAUUGGAGGGCAAGUCUGGUGCCAGCAGCCGCGGUAAUUCCAGCUCCGAUAGCGUAUAUUAAAGUUGCUGCGGUUAAAAAGCUCGUAGCUGGACUUCGCGUCCGGACUGACGGCCCGCCGAGGGUCUGACGACUGACGUCGCCUACGCGCAGCAUCGUACUCGUCCGUCGCGUCGCGUGCGUCCGCGCAUCGCUCAUAAGUCGGCGGCGGCGCGACUCGCUCGCUCGCGAUCCGUCACGUUCGACUUACCCCUCGCGCGGAUAACCUAGUCAAACCCGGGUCGCCGAAAUCCGCCGUUUCGCGAGGUUCGCCUCUGGUGACCCUAGCGUCCGGCAUUUUCGCUUUGAAUAAAUAAGAGUGCUCAAAGCGGGCGCAAAAAGUUUAACGCCGCCAAAACGAAAGCGCAUUGAACGAAGAAAUAAGACCUCGACCCCGCCGUCGUACGCGCCUCGCGCGCGCUCGUCGGUUCUAGGGGGCCGAGGUAACGAUUAAGAGAAGCGGGCGGAGACAUACGUAUUGCGUCGCUAGAGGUGAAAUUCGUUGACCGACGCAAGACGAACCGAGGCGAAGGCGUUUGUCGAGAACGUUUUCAUUAGUCAAGAACGAAAGUCAGAGGAUCGAAGGCGAUCAGAUACCGCCCUAGUUCUGACCGUAAACUUUGCUACCUGACGAUCCGCCGACGUCGUACCCUAGACUCGGCGGGAAGUCUCCGGGAAACCUAAGGUUUCGAGCUCCGGGGGAAGUAUGGUUGCAAAAGUGAAACUUAAAGGAAUUGACGGAAGGGCACCACCAGGAGUGGAGCCUGCGGCUUAAUUCGACUCAACACGGGUAACCUUAUCGGGACCGGACGCUGAAAGGAUUGACAGAUUGAGAGCUUUUUCUCGAUUUAGCGGCAGGUGGUGCAUGGCCGUUUCAAGUUGGUGGUGCGAAUUGUCUGGUUGAUUCCGGUAACGAGCGAGACUCUCCCUUGCUAAUUAGACGGCGAAUCGGCUCCGACAGUCGAGUUCGGCGGGCCUGCUCUGAGCAGCAGCUUCGUUCGUCGUUCUCUCUUCGGCCGGCGUUCGGGUCGCGCGCGGCGUUCGUGCGGCGAGUUCUUCGUCGUGUAGGGCGCCGUCGCGUCGAGGCUCGGCGUCGUUAAGGUCGAGCGUAGAGGGGCGGCGGAGUUCGUCGACUCGUCUAGGAGCGUUCGUCCGCUUUGAAAAAAAUAAGCGUCUUCUUAGAGGAAUUGGCGGCGCACGUUCAGUAGCCGCACGAAAAUGAGCCAAAACAGGUCUGUGAUGCCCUUAGAUGUUCCGAGCCGCACGCGCGCUACAAUGGUAGGUUCAACGCGCAUUGUUCUCCUCCGAAAGGAGCGGGUAAUCGCGGCAAGGCCAUUAGACUUCGGUAGGGAUUGGGGCUUGGAAUUACCCCCACGAACGAGGAAUUCCUAGUAGUCGCGAGUCCUCAGCCCGCGUCGAUUGAGUCUCUGCCCUUUGUACACACCGCCCGUCGCUACUACCGAUUGAGUGAUCGAGUGAGGGCCUCGGACUGGCGCCCAGGGCCGAUCGACCUUCCCGUUUCGGCGGGAGGCCGUCGCCUAGGGCUGACGGAAUGACGUCCCAGCUCGGAUAUUUAGAGGAAGUAAAAGU
rnacentral:rRNA from 1 species